rnacentral:rRNA from 1 species
UACAGAGGUCUCGAGCGUUAGGCGGAAUCACUGGGCUUAAAGCGUGUGUAGGCGGAUCGUUAAGUACCUUGUGAAAUCCCACGGCUUAACCGUGGAACUGCUUGGUAUACUGGCGGUCUUGAGCCAGCUAGGGGCUACCGGAACAAAUGGUGGAGCGGUGAAAUGCGUAGAUACCAUUUGGAACGCCAAUGGUGAAAACAGGUAGCUGGGGCUGUGCUGACGCUGAGACACGAAAGCCAGGGGAGCAAACGGG